GGGCAGCAGCAGCACACAGCUCAGCAUUUCUUCUCUCCAUCUGUCAGUCACCUCACCUUGCAGAGCCCUAACACUGAAGAAGAAAAAGAAGAUAUUUUCCACCAAGUGGGAGAACUUGAACAUGUCGGUGUCCGGUCUUCUGAGGGUGGUCAUAACUUCCAUGUGGCUAGGAACCAGUAUUGCCCAGAAGGUAACUCAAGGCCAACAAGCAAUACUGGUGCAGGAGAAGGAUGCUGUGAGCCUGGAUUGCACAUAUGACACCAGUGUUACAAGUUAUAGUCUAUUCUGGUACAAGCAGCUCAGCAGUGGGGCGAUGAUUUUCCUCAUUCGUCAGGACUCUUACAACCAGCAAAAUGCCACAGGAGGCCGCUACUCACUGAAUUUUCAGAAAGCAAAGAGUUCUGCAAACCUUGUCAUCUCAGCUUCACAGAUGGAGGACUCAGCAGUGUAUUUCUGUGCCCUGAGUGAGCCCACAGUGAGAGGCGUGUUAGAAGGAGGUGUACCAAAACCCCAGGGCUCUGCUUCAUGCAUCCACCUGCUGUAGGGACCAAGGCGGGGAAUUGUAAUCACAGACAGGAAGCGACAAGGGCUGUGGCAGCACAGGUGUAGGUAGGGUUAGAGGGAAAACACUCUAUGAAAAUACAUCUCUAGGUUCAUGGAACAUGUGUAGAGUUAUCAUUCAUCAAAAACAUCCAUAUCUUUGAAAAUUUGGGUUGAAAUUGUUUAUUGGAUAUAAAGAAGAGCCACAAUAAAUAACUUACCGUUGGUGACAGA